GUGUGUAAUCCCUUCAGCAGCACAUAUACUAAAAUUGGAAUGAUACAGAGAUGAUUAGCAUGGCCCCUGCGCAAGGAUGACAUGCAAAUUCGUGAAGAGAAAGAGAGAGAA